rnacentral:rRNA from 1 species
GGAGAAAUUCAAUAUUGUCCUUAACAGACAAUGUGCACUUUUCUCUUAGUAAGACGCUGUGAUCCAUUAGAAAUCGGACCAUUUCAAUGGUUAUUGGGCUGCCAAUAGGUACGGUAUGAAGUUUGAUGGUGCAAAUGGUGCAAUCUUUAACGGUUGUUCGUAUUGCCCGUUGAGCGUAUCCGUWUCCUGAUGUAGCUGUCUGAUGGAUUUUAAAGGCCGUAUUAUCGAUGUCUUGUACAUUGCCCGUUUCGAUGGGAUUGGAUAUGUGCCCGAUCAACAGCGGUUAAAUUUGUGAUACCUUUGGGACCCGUCUUGAAACACGGACCAAGGAGUCUAUCUAGUAUGCAAGUAAAUGGGUAUAUGAAACCUAUUUGCGCAAAAAACUUAACUUUUAUGGGAUUACGUGUCAUUCAUUCGUGAUGAUUCCUCAAUCCCGGGGUAUUUUCAUCAACAUAUACGCAAGUAUAUGGAAAAUAUACCAUGAGCAUACUGGAUAUGACCCGAAAGAUGGUGAACUAUGCCUGAUCAGGUUGAAGUCAGGGGAAACCCUGAUGGAGGACCGAAGCAAUUCUGACGUGCAAAUCGAUUGUCAGAAUUGGGCAUAGGGGCGAAAGACCAAUCGAACCAUCUAGUA